GACUGCUGGAGAGGAAGGAUGUCCAUUGCAGGCUCCAGCCUAGGAGCCAUGGCAGCCCCUGACCGUGGAAGCCGAAGGUGCCGAGAUCCCAGCAGGUGCCCCGGUACCUGCGGACACCACAGGGACUUUGUAGCCACUGUGAACAGCCCUGGCAGAGGAACCCUGAAGCUGCCCAGACUAUGGACGCAGGAGUCAUGGAAUUCAGCCCAGUUGAGCUGGCCCUAAUUGACCACAGAGGGACAGAGUGCCAGAACUCGAGUCUCCCCAGCUCCUUCUGCUGCACACAAACCUUUGAGAAACAACUGAAGGAGACAGCUCUACCAGACCAAGGCUAGCUACACAAAUUCUAGCCAACUGCUCUGGAGAAUAUUAUUGAGUCAAGAAAGAACAAGGAGCACUAGUUACAUACAAAUACUAACCUCAACUUGUCAAGAGCUGCUGUUGAC